UUUUUAACCCUAAUCCUUUCCUUUGCUGUGGUUAUGGCCCUGAGUCCUUAAAUUAUAGGCUCUCCUGCAGUUUCAAAAAGCUAAUUCACACUACUGUGUGCAUUAGAAAGGUGGUAUAUAUGAUAUUCCACUAAGGGAAACCCUAGGAACAUUAAACUCCUACUAGUAACUGGUCACGAGUCAGGGCUAGAACUGACACUAGUCAUUUUUCUUCACUGACAAGUUUUCAUUAUGUGGCUUUCCCAGAACAAUUUAGAAAUUGAUCUGCAACUGAUGGAAGCUGGGAUGAAUUGGGCGCAUAAGUGAACCCAAAGCAUCAGAGCAAAGUCAAAGCGAACAUCUGGCUCCAGCUUUGAGUACAAGAAAGGAAGGAAGAAAGAACAUGCUGGAAGCAGAGCAAAGAAGAGAGACUUGUGUUUCCAUGGAAUAAUCUUGGGAUCCAUGUGGAGUGCAAGAGAUUGGAACAGAAGGAGUUCUCAAAAAAUAAAAACUUCGGGCGGGUGCGGUGGCUCACGCCUGUAAUCCCAGGACUUUGGGAGGCCGAGGUGGGCGGAUCACGAGGUCAGGAGAUCGAGACCAUCCUGGCUAACAUGGUGAAACCCCAUCUCUACUAAAAAUACAAAAAAAAAAAAAAAAAAAAAUAGCUGGGCGUGGUGGCAGGUGCCUGUAGUUCCAGCUACUUGGGAGGCUGAGGCAGGAGAAUGGCGUGAACAUGGGAGGUGGAGCUUGCAGUGAGCCUAGAUUGCGCCACUGCACUCCAGCCUGGACGACAGAGUGAGACUCCAUCUCAAAAAAUAAAUAAAUAAAUAAAUAAAUAAAUAAAUAAUAAAAAAUUCUUGUUUGCUCUACAAGAGUAGCUUAACUUCUUUUCAAAGUACAUUUCUGGAUUCAUGUGAGAUUUAUAGUUUAAACUGGGGUUAUAAAAGAAAAAAAAGAAAGAAUGCCACCACCUUAAUCCAAAGAAAUAAAUCAUAUUAAGAUUGUGUCACAUUAGUGAUAUAGGUAGGCUGGAAUAUCUUCUAACAGGCUCUUAAUAUAAAUGUGUAAUUCACAUUGGUCUCAAUUAUCUGUGAACGCAUCAUCCUCAUAGUUUAAAC
rnacentral:lncRNA from 1 species